AACCGUGGCUCAGUUCAGAUCGUAGGCUGCAACUCGCCUACGUGAAGGAGGAAUCGCUAGUAAUCGCAGGUCAGCAUACUGCGGUGAAUACGUUCCCGGGCCUUGUACACACCGCCCGUCACACCAUGGAAGUUGGCCACGCCCGAGGCCGUUACUCCAACCCUUGUGGAGGAGGACGUCGAAGGUGGGGCUGAUGACUGGGGUGAAGUCGUAACAAGGUAGCCGUACCGGAAGGUGCGGCUGGAUCACCUCCUAA
rnacentral:rRNA from 1 species